AGUCGGAUCCAAUUUCUUUGUGCUUUUGGGAAAGAAUUUUGGGCAAAUCUAAUUUGACCAUAUCAUAACUAUGAGGUGCUGGGACUUGAAAGACUUGCAAUUGACCUCAUGUUAGCACAGAUGACCGCCUCUCCCAUUAUCGCGUGCAGCCGCCCGUGAUGCGGACGCUAGUCCGUGAUCCCGGCCUCCACCGUGGCCACGAUCGGCAUCCUCCUAGCAUCCCAGCUCUUCCGCACAUCACAAAUGAUCCACAGAGCUUCUUCCUCCCAUGAUGCACUCCCGCCUCCCACGUCCGCCCCAGCAGCCCGCGUUCUUCACGCGAUGAACGUCCCAGCACCAAUCAAGCCAUGAUCCAGCCACCGUGAAGGAGGAAAUCAGCAAUCACCAUGAUUUCAGCCUCCUUCCCGUCAGCCAGAUCAGCUCCACGGAUCAUCGACCUCCUUCUCCGUGAUCGAAGCAUCCCACAUCAGCACCCGAGAUCUUCUUCUUCAGCGCCCCAGCGUCCGUCAUCAA
rnacentral:lncRNA from 1 species